rnacentral:rRNA from 1 species
UGGGGGAUAUUGCACAAUGGGCGAAAGCCUGAUGCAGCGACGCCGCGUGGGGGAUGAAGGCCUUCGGGUUGUAAACUUCUUUUGCUCUGAACAAGGCAUGCCUUUGGGGUGUGUUGAGUGUAGGGGUUGAUUAGCGCCGGCUAACUACGUGCCAGCAGCCGCGGUAAUACGUAGGGCGCGAGCGUUGUCCGGAAUUAUUGGGCGUAAAGGGCUUGUAGGUGGCUGGUUGCGUCUGUCGUGAAAGCUCAUGGCUUAACUGUGGGUUUGCGGUGGGUACGGGCUGGCUUGAGUGCAGUAGGGGGGGGUGGAAUUCCUGGUGUAGCGGUGGAAUGCGCAGAUAUCAGGGGGAAUACCGGUGGCGAAGGCGGGUCUCUGGGCUGUUACUGACGCUGAGGAGCGAAAGCGUGGGGAGCGAACAGG